rnacentral:rRNA from 1 species
AGAACGAACGCUGGCGGCAUGCCUAAUACAUGCAAGUCGAACGAACUCUUCGGAGUUAGUGGCGCACGGGUGCGUAACGCGUGGGAAUCUGCCCCUUGGUUCGGAAUAACAGUUGGAAACGACUGCUAAUACCGGAUGAUGACGAAAGUCCAAAGAUUUAUCGCCAAGGGAUGAGCCCGCGUAGGAUUAGCUAGUUGGUGAGGUAAAGGCUCACCAAGGCAACGAUCCUUAGCUGGUCUGAGAGGAUGAUCAGCCACACUGGGACUGAGACACGGCCCAGACUCCUACGGGAGGCAGCAGUAGGGAAUAGUUGGA